rnacentral:ncRNA from 1 species
GCAGAGUAGGAGCAAAAGCGUUAAGUGCCUGAUAAACAGGAAGUUGUUAUCAGGACGAAAAGUUUUCUUGCGAUUUUUGUUCCGCAUUCCGCUGC